rnacentral:rRNA from 1 species
UAAUAUAGAAAAAAAACGUACCCAAUUCCGACACAGGUGAAUUAGAGUUAUGUUCUAAGGCUAAAUAGAAAUAACCAGGUUGAAGGAACUCGGCAAAAUGCUUACGUGCUUAUCGACAAGUAAGGACUAUAAAUGUUACAAUAUAAUUGAAGGCAACGACUGUUUAAUCAAAACACAAGACUCUGCUUAAUGUAAAACGUAUUAUUAUAAGACAGCCCGACGCAGUCGGCAAGCCUGCGCCAAUGAAUUUGGCGCUGGCGCGUCUUUUUGGGUUAUAAUAAUAUUCGUAUGUAAAGAGUCUGACAUCUGCCCAAGGACUAAGGUAAACGGCUGCUGUAACUAUAACGGUACUAAUAAACACAUAAUAAGUCUACCUAUGUGCCGUGUUUAAAGAUAACUAUAUGCUGGAAAAUAUUAAAAAAGACAACCAGCAAGAAAUAUACCUUUAUUAUCCUCCUUUAUUAUCCUUCCCGGCGCAGCCGGCAAGCCUGCGCCAAUGUAAUUGGCGCUGGCGCGUUUAUUAUUACAGGAAAAACAAGGCACCUACGAGUCGAGAUAAAUUUAGGUAUAAUCUUCAGAGACUUUACGUUAUCCUGUUUAUAAGUUUAUAACACUUUCUACAGAAAAUAAAGUCCAAUCUACGUGUAAAUGAUAGAGUAUAAUGACUAAGGUAGCAAAAUCCAUUGACGUUUAAUUGAUGUCGCGCAUGAAUGAUGUAACGAUUGUCUUGCUGUCUCCAACCUGGAUUCUGUGAAAUUGAAUUGCCCGUGCAGAUGCGGGAUACGUGUUAGAGGGACGAUAAGACCCCGCAGCACCUU